GACAACACCAAAUAAUACACACGCUAACACAGAGCGCUUGCUGAAGACACAGAAGCUGGCGUUCUUUGUUCUCAGGUGUGCUUUAUAGUUUCCUGGUCUGUGAUGUCACCCGCCUCUGACGUCCCGUCACGCCAUUGGUUCGAUUUCACAAGUGCUUCAAGACAUAAUCACGCAGAGGUGAUCCCAAUGCGUCUCGACGCAGCUCGAAGUUCCCAUGAAAGGGAAUCGCAAUCAGAACAACGGAUGGGACUGCAUUCAUUCUGAAGACAGCCAACAGUGUGAACGAAUUGCAAGAAUUGGAGUCUCGUUUGCAAGCUAAAAAUGAAAGAGCAGCCUUGCAAGCAUAUUUGAGAAGAAUUGGAGGAGCUGAUGACAUAGACAUGGUGAAAAAAUCAAUGUCUGUAACUCAAAUGGAGUCAUGCCACAAAUGAAUUUGAAGGGAAAAUGUGGGAAACUGCCAUUUUCUCAGUUCCAGCUCUGCCAGAUCAUAUGUGACGCGGUCAUCAAUACACACAACACAACAAACAAAGAUAUUGGAGACCAUGUCCAAAUACUUAAAAUAUGCACCAAAGAGGAUGGGUGGUAGUGGCCGUAAGAAGACUCUUCCUUGAAGACACCCCUUUUUUUUUUUUAAAUGACCGUCACUAGAAAAAUGAAGUUGUGAAUGAAAUGAAGUUCCCAGAAAUGAAAUUUCCUUAGUUUUACUUUCUUGGUUUUCUUUUCACCUACUUGUUGAGAUUUUAGAAGGUGAAAAAACACAGAAUACUGGUCAGAAGUGUGGAAAUGGUAAGAUUUUUAGUAUUUGCCAGUGUUAUAGUUUAUGUAUUUUUGGUCAAACACAGACCUAUUGAGCAAGUUUCCAAACCAGUACUCUGUUAUCUGUUUAUACACACGC